rnacentral:rRNA from 1 species
CCCUUAGAUGUCCUGGGCCGCACGCGCGCUACACUGAUGCAUUCAACGAGUUUUUCCUUGGCCGAGAGGCCUGGGCAAUCUUUUGAACGUGCAUCGUGAUAGGGAUAGAUUAUUGCAAUUAUUAAUCUUGAACGAGGAAUUCCUAGUAAACGCAGAUCAUCAAUCUGCAUUGAUUACGUCCCUGCCCUUUGUACACACCGCCCGUCGCACCUACCGAUUGAAUGGUCCGGUGAAGCCUCGGGAUUGUGGCGAGUUCCCUUUAUUGGGAGUUUGUCGCGAGAACUUGUCUAAACCUUAUCAUUUAGAGGAAGGUGAAGUCGUAACA